UGAUGCUUGCUUGCUAUGCUUAUACAACAAUAAUUUGGUUUCAACUCAAUCACGAGAUCUAAUUUAUAAUAUUGUGCUUUGCAAUAAAACUGUUAAAAGUUCAGUUAUCAUUUCCAUCAGUUGGUUUAACAUUAGGCCCUGUAAAUAACCAACGGCAUUUUAUUUGCUACACAGUAUGCUAAGUAUAGUUUCCUAAAUAUAGUUUUACAAGUCAUAACUAAAAGUGUGUCAUGCGUAUAAUUUGAGGCAGUAACCUAAUGGCACCUCCAUGAAAGUUAGAUUGAUAUACAAAUUUUGGUUGAAAAAUAUCCUGAAACCCAAAAAGUUUUUGUUUUUGCCUAUACAUAUAAUUUAAAAUCAUUUUAUUUUUUUAAACAUCUGAGUCCCAGUGACCAUAGCAUAGCGUGAAUAAAAUAUAAUUUUUCAAUGUAUUUUUUUUUACUAUUUGUUUCUAUGCUCUAAACAAUGUGAUGACAUGGGGGAAAAAAUAAAAUAAAUAAAUUUUUUUUUCCGGGUCUAGGAGGAUAUAGCGUGUAAUGACAGACAUUUAGUGUGGGCACUUCUAAAAUAUUUUGGAGCAUCCUCUGCCACUGGUCAGGAUGAGCCAACCACCUCCUCCGCUACACAUAUGUCUCCACAAAUAUCUGAUAUUGAGGAUGAAGACCUCUUUGCCUCUACUUCUACCCAUCAUGAGCUUUCAGAAAUGCCUGGAGCUGAACCCCCACUGAGCCCCACUGGCCCUCACAUCUGACUGACAGGAUUCGGACUGAGCUGGUUCACAGAGGACCAAGUAAAGUGCCACCUGGCUUUGUUUUCCAUAGGAAUGAGAGUAAUGGGAGAAGUUGCCACCACUAAUAUUUUAAGAAGACAUUAGUAAGUGGUGAAAAGAUGGCAAGAAGUUGGCUGAUUUAUUCAAUUAAGAACAACAGCCUCUUUUGCUUCUACUGCAAAUUGUUUUCCAAGAGGAACAUCAAUUUAACAAGUGCAGGAAUGGCAAAUUGGAAACAUGCAUGCAAUGAUCUCACAUCAUAUGAAAACAGUUGUUAUAAUAAAAUAUUGCUGUUUGUGCAGAA